CGAGCAGGUGCGAAAGCAGGUCAUAGUGAUCCGGUGGUUCUGAAUGGAAGGGCCAUCGCUCAACGGAUAAAAGGUACUCCGGGGAUAACAGGCUGAUACCGCCCAAGAGUUCAUAUCGACGGCGGUGUUUGGCACCUCGAUGUCGGCUCAUCACAUCCUGGGGCUGAAGUAGGUCCCAAGGGUAUGGCUGUUCGCCAUUUAAAGUGGUACGCGAGCUGGGUUUAGAACGUCGUGAGACAGUUCGGUCCCUAUCUGCCGUGGGCGCUGGAGAACUGAGGGGGGCUGCUCCUAGUACGAGAGGACCGGAGUGGACGCAUCACUGGUGUUCGGGUUGUCAUGCCAAUGGCACUGCCCGGUAGCUAAAUGCGGAAGAGAUAAGUGCUGAAAGCAUCUAAGCACGAAACUUGCCCCGAGAUGAGUUCUCCCUGAGACUUAGAGUCUCCUGAAGGAACGUUGAAGACGACGACGUUGAUAGGCCGGGUGUGUAAGCGCAGCGAUGCGUUGAGCUAACCGGUACUAAUGAACCGUGAGGCUUAACCUUAC
rnacentral:rRNA from 1 species